GCGCCGGUAGUGCAACAGGUUAGAGCACACUCUUUCGGAUAGAGUGAGAUACGGGUUCAGGUCCCGCUUGACGCA